rnacentral:rRNA from 1 species
AUUGAACGCUGGCGGCAUGCCUUACACAUGCAAGUCGAACGGUAACGCGGGGCAACCUGGCGACGAGUGGCGAACGGGUGAGUAAUGCAUCGGAACGUGCCCAUCAGUGGGGGAUAGCCCGGCGAAAGCCGGAUUAAUACCGCAUACGACCUGAGGGUGAAAGCGGGGGACCGUAAGGCCUCGCGCUGAUGGAGCGGCCGAUGUCGGAUUAGCUAGUUGGUGGGGUAAAGGCUUACCAAGGCAACGAUCCGUAGCUGGUCUGAGAGGACGACCAGCCACACUGGGACUGAGACACGGCCCAGACUCCUACGGGAGGCAGCAGUGGGGAAUUUUGGACAAUGGGCGCAAGCCUGAUCCAGCCAUGCCGCGUGCGGGAAGAAGGCCUUCGGGUUGUAAACCGCUUUUGUCAGGGAAGAAACGGUCUGAACUAAUACUUUGGACUAAUGACGGUACCUGAAGAAUAAGCACCGGCUAACUACGUGCCAGCAGCCGCGGUAACAC